GUGUGUGCUUUUAGUAGUUAGUAAGGCCAAAGCUACGGAAUGAGGUUUAAAUAUCUAGAGCUUGGAAUCCAAGAUUCCUCGCCGAGAGUGAAACCUAUAGCCGGUGCCAAGGCUAUUUGCAUGGUUUAUUAUGUUUAUAAUUUACAGAUUUUUUUGUAUCCAUAUUUUCUGGGAAAAUCUGGAACUGUGGCCUCUGAAAUAAUGUUAUGCUCAAUUUUCCUGACCUAUGAGGAGGAUUCUAUUUUGAUACUAAAGUGUAUAAAGUUGGUUAUAAUCUCCACAUCUUGCCUUCUGGAUGGAUUUUUUAUCUCUGCUCUAUUUGCAGAAAAUGUAAAAUUGUAGUAUACUUCACCAUGAGAUCCGAUGUGCCCUGCUUCAUGACGAUUGGUUACUGAUGCUGGACUUUCUCGGGACUAACGCUGGAUUGAUUAUAACGUGCUGGUACCUGGUAUAGUUUCGAGAAAUUGCCGCAAGAUGGCCGCGGAGCGUGGUCGUGCACCUGUAAUGACAGCACGUGCUACAGCUGAGUGGCGGUCUCCUUCUUGGAAAAGUGAAGGUGUGUGGCGGGAAAGGAAUGUUUUGUUUUGACAUCAGAGAGGCUUGUUAGAUUUGUUGCAGAAAGGAGAGUGGCAAGCGGCGAGAACGUUCAACUUUCUUCGAGCACGUGCAUUGUUGGAGAUCGAGGUGUGGCAGGAAGAAAGUCGUGAGAGGCGGCCUGUUUUCAUCCAUGUGCUUCUAAGGGGCCAAAUUUGAAAGUUGAAGGGACACACGGUGAGGUUCGAUGAGAAUUACCGCGGAUGAUCGAGCCUAGGGGCGUCGAAAGUGACACCGUCGGUCUGUUAGCAG